CGGUCGCUCGUUCGUGCGCCAGGCCUUAACAUCCCGAGGACCUUACCUCUCUGUGAGGGAGCUACCUCUGGCGCGGACCGUGGUCCGUGUCACGCGGCGCCCACCUGAUUUAUCAGGUCAUCAGGGACGGAAAACGGUCAGCGGCGAAACCGGCGCCGCC
rnacentral:other from 1 species